UACGUAGGCAGCAAGCGUUGUUCGGAGUUACUGGGCGUAAAGGGUGUGUAGGCGGUUAUUUAAGUUUGGUGUGAAAUCUCCCGGCUCAACCGGGAGGGUGCGCCGAAUACUGAAUGACUUGGAGCGCGGGAGAGGAAAGUGGAAUUCCUGGUGUAGCGGUGAAAUGCGUAGAUAUCAGGAGGAACACCGGUGGUGUAGACGGCUUUCUGGACCGUAACUGACGCUGAGACACGAAAGCGUGGGUAGCAAACAGG
rnacentral:rRNA from 1 species